CGGACGGGUGAGUAACGCGUGGGUAACCUGCCUCAUACAGGGGGAUAACAGUUAGAAAUGGCUGCUAAUACCACAUAAGCGCACAGGACCGCAUGGUCUGGUGUGAAAAACUCCGGUGGUAUGAGAUGGACCCGCGUCUGAUUAGCUAGUUGGAGGGGUAACGGCCCACCAAGGCGACGAUCAGUAGCCGGCCUGAGAGGGUGAACGGCCACAUUGGGACUGAGACACGGCCCAG
rnacentral:rRNA from 1 species